CUAGUAUAAGCAAUCUAUACCGUGAAACUGCGAAUGGCUCAUUAAAUCAGUUAUCGUUUAUUUGAUAGUACCUUACUACUUGGAUAACCGUGGUAAUUCUAGAGCUAAUACAUGCUAAAAACCUCGACUUCGGAAGGGGUGUAUUUAUUAGAUAAAAAACCAAUGCCCUUCGGGGCUCUCUGGUGAUUCAUAAUAACUUAACGAAUCGCAUGGCCUUGUGCCGGCGAUGGUUCAUUCAAAUUUCUGCCCUAUCAACUUUCGAUUGUAUGGUCUUGGCUUACAAUGGUUUCAACGGGUAACGGGGAAUUAGGGUUCUAUUCCGGAGAGGGAGCCUGAGAAACGGCUACCACAUCCAAGGAAGGCAGCAGGCGCGCAAAUUACCCAAUCCCGACACGGGGAGGUAGUGACAAUAAAUACUGAUACAGGGCUCUUUUGGGUCUUGUAAUUGGAAUGAGUACAAUUUAAAUCCCUUAACGAGGAACAAUUGGAGGGCAAGUCUGGUGCCAGCAGCCGCGGUAAUUCCAGCUCCAAUAGCGUAUAUUAAAGUUGUUGCAGUUAAAAAGCUCGUAGUUGAACCUUGGGCCUGGCUGGCCGGUCCGCCUCACCGCGUGCACUGGUCCGGCCGGGCCUUUCCUCCUGGGGAGCCGCAUGCCCUUCACUGGGUGUGCCGGGGAACCAGGACUUUUACUUUGAAAAAAUUAGAGUGUUCAAAGCAGGCCUAUGCUCGAAUACAUUAGCAUGGAAUAAUAGAAUAGGACGUGUGGUUCUAUUUUGUUGGUUUCUAGGACCGCCGUAAUGAUUAAUAGGGAUAGUCGGGGGCAUCAGUAUUCAAUUGUCAGAGGUGAAAUUCUUGGAUUUAUUGAAGACUAACUACUGCGAAAGCAUUUGCCAAGGAUGUUUUCAUUAAUCAGUGAACGAAAGUUAGGGGAUCGAAGACGAUCAGAUACCGUCGUAGUCUUAACCAUAAACUAUGCCGACU
rnacentral:rRNA from 1 species